GGCCCUAUAGCUCAGGGGUUAGAGCAC
rnacentral:piRNA from 5 species